CUUUGAGUUGUGAUUGGAUUGCCGAAUUUCUCCAAGAAGAAAAGUGCGGAGAAUAAAUGGACUUUGCAUAAGGAUGGACUUCAAGGUCGUCAGAUUACCGACACUUUGAAGAUUUUGAUUGAUAGCUGCAUUAAACAAAUUUGAAACCCCUUUACUCAGAUCGAAAAAUGUCAGAUCUUACCUUCCGGAAAAUCCAGCCCUUGAGAGGGUUGGCUGAGACUGAGGUAUCCAAUGAUGAUGAAUCAACGGUGGAUGAUGCGAGUGCAGGGAAUGGGAGUAUGGAGGUUUGUGCAUUUGACAACCGGGGAUGCGUGCGGAGCUAUGCUCCUAUGAAAAGAUC